rnacentral:rRNA from 1 species
GACGAACGCUGGCGGCGUGCUUAACACAUGCAAGUCGAACGGAAAGGCCCUGCUUUUGUGGGGUGCUCGAGUGGCGAACGGGUGAGUAACACGUGAGUUACCUGCCCUUGUCUUUGGGAUAACUUCAGGAAACUGGGGCUAAUACCGGAUAGGAGCUCCUGCUGCAUGGUGGGGGUUGGAAAGUUUCGGCGGUUGGGGAUGGACUCGCGGCUUAUCAGCUUGUUGGUGGGGUAGUGGCUUACCAAGGCUUUGACGGGUAGCCGGCCUGAGAGGGUGACCGGCCACAUUGGGACUGAGAUACGGCCCAGACUCCUACGGGAGGCAGCAGUGGGGAAUAUUGCACAAUGGGCGGAAGCCUGAUGCAGCAACGCCGCGUGCGGGAUGACGGCCUUCGGGUUGUAAACCGCUUUCGCCUGUGACGAAGCGUGAGUGACGGUAAUGGGUAAAGAAGCACCGGCUAACUACGUG